GAUGAACGCUGGCGGCGUGCCUAAUACAUGCAAGUCGAGCGAACGGACGAGAAGCUUGCUUCUCUGAUGUUAGCGGCGGACGGGUGAGUAACACGUGGAUAACCUACCUAUAAGACUGGGAUAACUUCGGGAAACCGGAGCUAAUACCGGAUAAUAUUUUGAACCGCAUGGUUCAAAAGUGAAAGACGGUCUUGCUGUCACUUAUAGAUGGAUCCGCGCUGCAUUAGCUAGUUGGUAAGGUAACGGCUUACCAAGGCAACGAUGCAUAGCCGACCUGAGAGGGUGAUCGGCCACACUGGAACUGAGACACGGUCCAGACUCCUACGGGAGGCAGCAGUAGGGAAUCUUCCGCAAUGGGCGAAAGCCUGACGGAGCAACGCCGCGUGAGUGAUGAAGGUCUUCGGAUCGUAAAACUCUGUUAUUAGGGAAGAACGUAUGUGUAAGUAACUGUGCACAUCUUGACGGUACCUAAUCAGAAAGCCACGGCUAACUACGUGCCAGCAGCCGCGGUAAUACGUAGGUGGCAAGCGUUAUCCGGAAUUAUUGGGCGUAAAGCGCGCGUAGGCGGUUUUUUAAGUCUGAUGUGAAAGCCCACGGCUCAACCGUGGAGGGUCAUUGGAAACUGGAAAACUUGAGUGCAGAAGAGGAAAGUGGAAUUCCAUGUGUAGCGGUGAAAUGCGCAGAGAUAUGGAGGAACACCAGUGGCGAAGGCGACUUUCUGGUCUGUAACUGACGCUGAUGUGCGAAAGCGUGGGGAUCAAACAGGAUUAGAUACCCUGGUAGUCCACGCCGUAAUCGAUGAGUGCUAAGUGUUAGGGGGUUUCCGCCCCUUAGUGCUGCAGCUAACGCAUUAAGCACUCCGCCUGGGGAGUACGACCGCAAGGUUGAAACUCAAAGGAAUUGACGGGGACCCGCACAAGCGGUGGAGCAUGUGGUUUAAUUCGAAGCAACGCGAAGAACCUUACCAAAUCUUGACAUCCUCUGACCCCUCUAGAGAUAGAGUUUUCCCCUUCGGGGGACAGAGUGACAGGUGGUGCAUGGUUGUCGUCAGCUCGUGUCGUGAGAUGUUGGGUUAAGUCCCGCAACGAGCGCAACCCUUAAGCUUAGUUGCCAUCAUUAAGUUGGGCACUCUAAGUUGACUGCCGGUGACAAACCGGAGGAAGGUGGGGAUGACGUCAAAUCAUCAUGCCCCUUAUGAUUUGGGCUACACACGUGCUACAAUGGACAAUACAAAGGGUAGCGAAACCGCGAGGUCAAGCAAAUCCCAUAAAGUUGUUCUCAGUUCGGAUUGUAGUCUGCAACUCGACUAUAUGAAGCUGGAAUCGCUAGUAAUCGUAGAUCAGCAUGCUACGGUGAAUACGUUCCCGGGUCU
rnacentral:rRNA from 1 species